GCCGGGUGUGGUGGCUCACACCUGUAAUUCCAGCACUUUGGGAGGUCGAGGUGGGUGGAUCACCUGAGGUCAGGAGUUCAAGAUCAGCCUGACCAACAUGGUGAAACCCCAUCUCUA
ensembl:misc_RNA Metazoa_SRP Metazoan signal recognition particle RNA